GCGGGGGUUGCCGAGCCUGGUCAAAGGCGCAGGGCUUAGGACCCUGUCUUCUAGGAGUCCGCGGGUUCGAAUCCCGCCUCCCGCA
rnacentral:tRNA from 1 species